rnacentral:rRNA from 1 species
UCAAUAAGCGGAGGAAAAGAGACUAGCAAGGAUUCCCCUAGUAACGGCGAGUGAAGAGGGAAAAGCUCAAAUUUUGAAUCUGGUGUCUUUGGCGCCCGAAUUGUAAUCUAGAGAAGUGUUUUCCGCUUUGGACCGUGUACAAGUUCCCUGGAACGGGGCGUCAUAGAGGGUGAGAAUCCCGUAUAUGGCACGGACUACCAAUGCUCUGUGAUACACUCUCAACGAGUCGAGUUGUUUGGGAAUGCAGCUCAAAAUGGGUGGUAAAUUCCAUCUAAAGCUAAAUAUUGGCGAGAGACCGAUAGCGAACAAGUACCGUGAGGGAAAGAUGAAAAGCACUUUGGAAAGAGAGUGAAACAGUACGUGAAAUUGUUGAAAGGGAAGCGUUUGAAGUCAGUCAUAUCUGGCGGGAUUCAGCCUGGCUUUUGCCUGGUGUACUUUCCGUCCGAUGGGUCAGCAUCAAUUUUGACCGGGGGAAAAAGACGUUGGGAAUGUGGCUGUCUUCGGGCAGUGUUAUAGCCCGGCGUUGUAUGCCUCGGUUGGGAUUGAGGAAGAGCAGCGCGCCUAUAGGCUGGGGGCUAACGCCUCUCAACACGCGCUUAGGAUGCUGGCAUAAUGGCUUUAAGCGACCCGUCUUGAAACA